GUCAGGAUGGCCGAGUGGUCUAAGGCGCCAGACUCAAGGUACAACCUUCCUACCACAGUGGGACUUCUGGUCUCCGAAUGGAGGCGUGGGUUCGAAUCCCACUUCUGACA
rnacentral:tRNA from 1 species